AUUUUCAUCUUGAAAUCGUUGUCGAUUAAUGUACUCCAAUAGAGGAAGAUUUGGGAUCAAGUUUUCAUCAAUCUUACUUUUUGUUUAAAAUUGAUGAAAACUAUCAGUCGAUUAUUUGUAUAUUUUUUGUCGAUUCUCAAAAUCGUCAAAAAAAUGAUCAAAAAUAUCCGCCGAUUUCUACUCGAUCAAAACUCGACCUCAAACUGAAAGUCGAGAUGGUUUGUCGGGUAGGUACCUACACCUACCACCUACAUAUUUCUCUUAUCGAUGAUAUCGAUAAUAAGUGCGUACAGAUAACAUUCUUCAUGGUUACUAGAAAUACUCGCAAUGAAAUCUAAUACCUAAAGGUGCCUUAUUCCUUCUAUUAAUUAAGUACUAUCUUUUUCAAACAUCUUGAUAUUAUUGGUCAUCUACCAUGAUUGAGCUCAUCAUCAUAAUUAUGCCUACAGAACAUAGAACAUACCAUCUUACCACUAUUUUGUCAGUUAUACCUACAGUACCCAACCCACUAGGUACCUGGUACACAGUUAUCUUCCGCAGUUCCUUUUCUUUGACGGCGCGUUUUACCUAUGUACUUAUAGUUAAUUAUUAAUUAACGUGGUUUAAUUUAUCACAGACGCAAUGGUGAAACUGUGUUCAACAGUACUUAUCGUAUUCAAUUCAUUAACAACAGCCAUCUGCAAUUCAUCGCCAACUUCACCACUACCGCUAGCAAAACUGAAAACCAGAGCUAGUUACAUACGAAUCAUUCUUAAAAAUGAUCUACUUUAUGUUGAUAAAACCUACUUUGCAUUCAUUCUAAUAACUGACGAUGAUGCUCACGUAUGCUUACUUCGACCCAGACAAUUCGGAAAAAGUCUAUUCUUGGAUACAUUGAAGGAAAUCCUCGAGGGCAACAAAGAACUGUUCACGAAUUAUUAUAUAGGAAAAACAAAUUAUGCCUGGAAGAAGCAUAUUGUUUUAGUAUUCGAUUUCGCUUCGUUUUGUUUAGGAAAGGAAGGCGAUUUAGAAAAAAAAUUGUCCAGAGAACUUCGUAGAAUGGCAACAGUUAACGGAGUAUGUAUCAUUGGUGAAGACUUCGAUGAUCUUCUUAAAGACCUCUUAUUAGCAUUAUCAAACAAGAUUGAUUACAGCACUUUCCAUGGCAUCGCUGUAUUGAUAGAUGAAUAUGAUGCGCAAAUUGUGAGACACCUAGGCAAUCCAUCACUGUCAGAAAAUAUUUUUCAAAAAAUGAACAGUUUUUUCUCUAUCCUGAAAUCUCACAGUGAUAUCAUCAACUUUACUUAUGUUACUGGUGUGAGUAACUUUGCUCUUUUUUCAACUGGCUCAGGACCCAACCACAUUACAGAUAUCUCUUUACAGCCUAGAUAUGCUACUGCUCUUGGUUAUACAGAAGAUGAAAUUAAGAAGUAUUUUUAUUCAUAUAUUCUUCAGAUGGCCAAAAUCAGAAGUCAAACUGGAGAAGAGGUGGUGACAGACCAGAAUAUACUUGAUGAAAUGAGGAAGUGGUAUGCGGGGUUUUUUUUUUCGGAAGACAAUAGUUCACAAAAAAACAUUUUCAAUCCUUGCUCAAUAACGCAAUAUUUUCGAAAUGGCCGCCCAAAAUUUUUUUGGAAUCCAAGGUCUACAUUGUUGAGCCAUGAAUUUCAAAAACAUUCAUUAGAUGAGGUGUUGAAGAUUGGUUUCAUCAUGCCGCAGACUAUUGAAGAAGUCACUCUGGAAAGUGGCUCUGUUAUUAAUAAUAUAAAAUUAUUACCCUUAUUCUACUACCAUGGAUAUUUCUCCAUCAAGGAAUAUUAUAAGAACCAAACCUACUGUCUUGACUUUCCAAAUGUUGAAGUCAAAAACGCUUUCAAUAAGAUUAAUGUAGCAGUAGAGGAUCGAAGGAAGGAUAUAAUGAAUUUGAAAAGCUGUCUUGAAAUUUCAGAUCUAGAACAAUUUUUCAGAACUCUAAACAGUAUUUUUCUACACGUUCCGAGUAAUCUUUACAAUCCACACAGCACUGAAAGAGCUUUUCACAUGGCGAUCCAAGUACUUCUAACAGCUGCUGGCGUUCCCAGUAAAUCAGGAUAUGGCGAAUCGUUUAGAACACCCGACAUUUUGAUUGAGUGGGAAAAUUUCGUGAUUAUUUUUGAACUGAAGAUGGCAAGAAACAAUGCGGAUGAGGAUGCUGCUGAAAUAGCAUUACAGCGAGCAAUACAGCAAGGAUACGGAGACAUUUUCAUCAAGAAACAAAAAAAUGUCACACUGGUAGGAGUCUCUUUCUAUACAGAAUUUAGGGAAAUUGGUUGGAAAUCUAAGGUUCUAUGAAAAGUUCUAGACCUUUAAUUUUUUCAUGUUAUUUCAUCUUGCUCACCUUAUCCAUAACUUUAUCUGUUUGAAGAUGAUUGCAUCUUCUUGGCUCAUUUCCUCUCUCUAUCAUAUCAUGAUACAUAUUUUGAUCAUUCACUUUUUGAUAGGUACUGUAUGUACUUACCUACCUCCAAAUCCUAUUGCUUUGUCUUCUACUUUAACGACGUAUUUUUUUUUUCUGUUUGAGAUUUAUUCCCAUAUUCUAAAUCUUGAUGGUGUGUGUGUAACGCAGGUAUAUUUUAAUUUUAUUUUUUGCUCUUCUUGAUUUAAAUCAUGAACAUUUUUGUAGUUUCAUAUUUUUUAAUGGUAGGUACCGCAGCACUAAAAUUUAUAAAAAAUGUAGACAUUUAAUUAUCAUUGUGUUUAAUACACCAGGGAAUAUCAAAUGCCCUGUUGCAAAAUAAAUCAAUUGAUUCAAAGGCA